rnacentral:rRNA from 1 species
GAUGAACGCUGGCGGCGUGCCUAAUACAUGCAAGUCGAGCGAACGGACGAGAAGCUUGCUUUUCUGAUGUUAGCGGCGGACGGGUGAGUAACACGUGGAUAACCUACCUAUAAGACUGGGAUAACUUCGGGAAACCGGAGCUAAUACCGGAUAAUAUUUUGAACCGCAUGGUUCAAAAGUGAAAGACGGUCUUGCUGUCACUUAUAGAUGGAUCCGCGCUGCAUUAGCUAGUUGGUAAGGUAACGGCUUACCAAGACAACGAUGCAUAGCCGACCUGAGAGGGUGAUCGGCCACACUGGAACUGAGACACGGUCCAGACUCCUACGGGAGGCAGCAGUAGGGAAUCUUCCGCAAUGGGCGAAAGCCUGACGGAGCAACGCCGCGUGAGUGAUGAAGGUCUUCGGAUCGUAAAACUCUGUUAUUAGGGAAGAACAUAUGUGUAAGUAACUGUGCACACCUUGACGGUACCUAAUCAGAAAGCCACGGCUAACUACGUG